GUAUUAUUAUUUUAUCUCAAUAACUUUGUCGAGUUUGUUUUUAGCUGCAUGUCUAAUUAUAUUUUACUGAAAAUAAUCCCUGUAUGUGUUCCUGUUCAGCUGAUACAUGUGGUUAUGAAAACAAGGGCAGGAACUGCAGACAGAUGAGGACGUUAAAGUGAAAGUAGGAAGUCAGACUGCCAGACUCCAUUUUACACCUCGACAGAGCGGGAGGAAGGAAACAGGUGUUAAUGGUUGAUCUCUCAGACUGGAGAAGAUGAGUGAUUUGAAAGAGGAGGAAGAGGACAAAUCUUCAGUCUCCAGCUGUCUGUCUCUGAAGAGUGACCGGUCUAAAGAGCAUCCUCUACUCUUCAGUAAUGACCCUGGACCAUCAGACACAAAACAGAGAGCAGAGUCUCCAGUCCCCAGCUGUCUGUCUCUG